rnacentral:rRNA from 1 species
CCUACGGGAGGCAGCAGUGAGGAAUAUUGGUCAAUGGACGAGAGUCUGAACCAGCCAAGUAGCGUGAAGGAUGACUGCCCUAUGGGUUGUAAACUUCUUUUAUAUGGGAAUAAAAUGUUCCACGUGUGGGAUUUUGUAGGUACCAUAUGAAUAAGGAUCGGCUAACUCCGUGCCAGCAGCCGCGGUAAUACGGAGGAUUCGAGCGUUAUCCGGAUUUAUUGGGUUUAAAGGGAGCGUAGGUGGAUUGUUAAGUCAGUUGUGAAAGUUUGCGGCUCAACCGUAGAAUUGCAGUUGAAACUGGCAGUCUUGAGUGGAGUAGAGGUAGGCGGAAUUCGUGGUGUAGCGGUGAAAUGCUUAGAUAUCACGAAGAACUCCGAUUGCGAAGGCAGUUCACUGGACUGCAACUGACACUGAGGCUCGAAAGUGUGGGUAUCAAACAGGAUUAGAUACCCCAGUAGUC